AGAUUGAAAGCUCCGGCGCCUANGGAUGAGUCUGCGGACUAUCAGGUUGUAGUCAGGGUAANGACCUGANUNGCNUACGNCGGAUACGGGUUGUGAGAGCAAUAACCNGGAGNCGAUAUNUGAGACNNGAUAUCGGGCCNUACGGGGNNCAGCAGGCGCGAAAACUUCACACUGUGNGAAAGCGCGAUGAGGGAAUCCCAAGUGUUUGCUNGUAAGAGUAAACUGUUUCUUUGUUUAAAACGCAGAGAGAGUAAGGGCUGGGUAAGACGGGUGCCAGCCGCCGCGGUAAUACCUGCAGCUCGAGUGGUGAUCAUUAUUAUUGGGCCUAAAACGUCCGUAGCCGGUUUAGUAAAUGCCUGGGUAAAUCGUGUAGCUUAACUAUACGACUUCCGGGUAGACUGCUAAACUUGAGACCGGGAGAGGCUAGAGGUACUCCUGGGGUAGAGGUGAAAUUCUGUAAUCCUAGGGGGACCACCAGUGGCGAAGGCGUCUAGCUAGAACGGGUCUGACGGUGAGGGACGAAGCCCUGGGGCACAAACCGGAUUAGAUACCCGGGUAGUCCAGGGUGUAAACGCUGCUUGCUUGAUGUU
rnacentral:rRNA from 1 species